CAAGGAAGGCAGCAGGCGCGUAAAUUACCCACUCCCAGCACGGGGAGGUGGUGACGAAAAAUAACAAUACGGGACUCUUUCGAGGCUCCGUAAUCGGAAUGAGUACAUUUUAAAUCCUUUAACAAGGAUCAAUUGGAGGGCAAGUCUGGUGCCAGCAGCCGCGGUAAUUCCAGCUCCAAUAGCGUAU
rnacentral:rRNA from 1 species